GGACUACUGGGGUAUCUAAUCCCGUUCGCUACCCUAGCUUUCGCGUCUCAGCGUCAGAAAACGUCCAGGACCUCGCUUUCGCCACGGGCGUUCCUUCCGAUCUCAACGCAUUUCACCGCUCCACCGGAAGUUCCAGGUCCCCCUACGUCCCUCCAGACGGGGCGUUUCGGUGCCCGUUCCCCGGUUGAGCCGGGGGAUUUCAGCAACCGACGUCCCCAUCCGCCUACACGCGCUUUAAGCCCAGUGAUUCCGAAUAACGUUCGCACGGUUCGUCUUACCGCGGCUGCUGGCAC
rnacentral:rRNA from 1 species